AUGAGUUACCUGUCGGAAUUUCAAUUGAUGAUAACAUAUUAAUCAAUAACUUAGCGUUGGCGAUGCCUUUUUGGCUGACUAAGUCCUUUCACAAAAGUGACUACGCGUUAUUCACUGACUCAGAAUUUGAUAGAUUUUCCAUUGAAGGUUCAUAAUGUUAGCGAUAAAGGAGAAUCCAAAGUCUGUUCUAAUCCAUGUGCUGAUGAUGAAAUAAGAGGAUCGUUAGUAUUGUCAGACAGAAUUCUUCUCAGUACUUGUGUCUCAAUUUACGUCAACUGACAGCGUCAUACAUACAUUUAUUCUUUAAAUUUACUCUUACAAAAAAACUAGUUGUAAUGUUUGUACUUGUCAUGAACGUUCAUUAUUG